UACAGAGGUCUCAAGCGUUGUUCGGAUUCAUUGGGCGUAAAGAGCUCGUAGGCGGCUUGUCGCGUCGGUUCGUGAAAACCUGCAGCUCAACUGACAGGCUUGCGGUCGAUACGGGCAGGCUGGAGUUCGGUAGGGGAGACUGGAAUUCCUGGUUGUGAGCGGUGGAAAUGACGCAGAGUAUCAGGAGGAACACCGGUGGCGAAGGCGGGUCUCUGGGCCGAUACUGACGCUGAGGAGCGAAAGCGUGGGGAGCGAACAGG
rnacentral:rRNA from 1 species